AGUGAACGCUGGCGGUAGGCCUAACACAUGCAAGUCGAACGGCAGCACAGUAAGAGCUUGCUCUUACGGGUGGCGAGUGGCGGACGGGUGAGGAAUACAUCGGAAUCUACUUUUUCGUGGGGGAUAACGUAGGGAAACUUACGCUAAUACCGCAUACGACCUACGGGUGAAAGCAGGGGAUCUUCGGACCUUGCACGAUUGAAUGAGCCGAUGUCGGAUUAGCUAGUUGGCGGGGUAAAGGCCCACCAAGGCGACGAUCCGUAGCUGGUCUGAGAGGAUGAUCAGCCACACUGGAACUGAGACACGGUCCAGACUCCUACGGGAGGCAGCAGUGGGGAAUAUUGGACAAAGGGCGCAAGCCUGAUCCAGCCAUACCGCGUGGGUGAAGAAGGCCUUCGGGUUGUAAAGCCCUUUUGUUGGGAAAGAAAAGCAGCAGGUUAAUACCCCGCUGUUCUGACGGUACCCAAAGAAUAAGCACCGGCUAACUUCGUG
rnacentral:rRNA from 1 species